GGCGACCGGCGCACGGGUGAGUAACACGUGUGCAACCAACCCCGUACCGGGAGAUAACCCGCGGAAACGUGGACUAACAUCCCAUGAGACUCUAGAGCCGCAUGGCUCUAGAUUUAAAAUUCCGGUGGUACGGGACGGGCACGCGCGACAUUAGGUAGUUGGCGGGGUAACGGCCCACCAAGCCGACGAUGUCUAGGGGUUCUGAGAGGAAGGUCCCCCACACUGGAACUGAGACACGGUCCAGACUCCUACGGGAGGCAGCAGUGAGGAAUAUUGGUCAAUGGGCGAGAGCCUGAACCAGCCAAGUCGCGUGAGGGAAGAAUGGUCUAUGGCCUGUAAACCUCUUUUGUCAAGGAAGAAUAAGGAUGACGAGUCAUUCGAUGCCAGUACUUGACGAAUAAGCAUCGGCUAACUCCGUGCCAGCAGCCGCGGUAAUACGGGGGAUGCGAGCGUUAUCCGGAUUUAUUGGGUUUAAAGGGCGCGUAGGCGGGACGGCAAGUCAGCGGUAAAAGACUGCAGCUAAACUGUAGCACGCCGUUGAAACUGUUGACCUCGAGACGAGACGAGGGAGGCGGAACAAGUGAAGUAGCGGUGAAAUGCAUAGAUAUCACUUGGAACCCCGAUAGCGAAGGCAGCUUCCCAGGCUCGUUCUGACGCUGAUGCGCGAGAGCGUGGGUAGCGAACAGGAUUAGAUACCCUGGUAGUCCACGCCGUAAACGAUGCUCACUGGAUCUUGGCGAUACACGGCCAGGGUUCAAGCGAAAGUAUUAAGUGAGCCACCUGGGGAGUACGUCGGCAACGAUGAAACUCAAAGGAAUUGACGGGGGCCCGCACAAGCGGAGGAACAUGUGGUUUAAUUCGAUGAUACGCGAGGAACCUUACCCGGGUUUAAAUGUAGAUUGCAUGAGGUGGAAACACUUCUUCCCUUCGGGGCUAUUUACAAGGUGCUGCAUGGUUGUCGUCAGCUCGUGCCGUGAGGUGUCGGGUUAAGUCCCAUAACGAGCGCAACCCCUAUCGCCAGUUGCCAUCGGUUCAAGCCGGGCACUCUGUCGAGACUGCCACCGUAAGGUGCGAGGAAGGCGGGGAUGACGUCAAAUCAGCACGGCCCUUACACCCGGGGCGACACACGUGUUACAAUGGCCGGUACAGAGGGCAGCCACGGGGUGACCCGGAGCGAAUCUCUAAAGCCGGUCGUAGUUCGGACUGGAGUCUGCAACCCGACUCCACGAAGUUGGAUUCGCUAGUAAUCGCGCAUCAGCCAUGGCGCGGU
rnacentral:rRNA from 1 species